UUUCAAUAAGUGGCGAAUGUAAAAUUUUAGGUCAUGAUUAGUAAAAAGUAUUAAAAGAGAUACACUAUUUUCAUGGCAGUUCAGAUCAAAUGCAACCUGCGUAAGAUGAAUGAAAUGCAUUAAAUUGGAGUGGGGAAAAUAAUUUUGACAGAUGAAUAAUUGACUUUGAUGAAAUUUGUAUUUUAUUUUCGCAAUUUGCCCACUUUCCGGUCGUGUCCCGCAUUGUAGCUGUAGAUUAUUUUCGUCCAAUCAAAUUGCAUCUUGGAUCUGUUGCCAUGUGAAUGCAAUCUCGGUCAACCAGGUGAAAGGCACGUUGUUAACCAAUCAGAUGUGAAAUUCACGGCACGUUGUUAACCAAUCAGAUGUGAAAUUCACCGCUAUUGGUUGACCCAAUCGGGUUUGAGAAUUGACCCAUCUGCGUUUUCUCAGCUGAGAGGUUGAGUGUGUUCGACGGCUUUGGACGUGAUAAAAAUGUAUAAUUUCAAGACCACCGUUAAGAAAAUAACAACUAAACAUUGUGGGGCAACCAACACAUUACUGUUGAACUUUUGUUUUCAAACCGGAAAAGGAUUUUGGGGCACUUUUGGAAGCAGCAAGUUGAGCUAGUUUACGCCGACUGCUAGCUCAGGUGGAUGAAAAAAGAGCGCCCGGUAUCAGUCGGUGGUUGGGGACCCCUGGUUUAGCUCACCUGGUUUAGCUUGUCGAACAUGAACUCAAGUUUGUGUGCGUUAUGAGUCUUGAUGUAAAUUAGCGCUGGUUUUGGAAGAUUCGAGGAUGAUUUCGCCGUGGGACCGCUGGUACUCGACGAGUUGCUGCCUCUGCUGCCAUGUCCGGACGGGCACCAUCAUUUUGGGCAUUUGGUACAUGCUCAUCAACGCAGUCGUGCUACUCAUCCUGUUGUCGGCCCUCAACGACCCCGUGCAGUAUCGCUACCACCUCACCAGCUCCGAGCUGGGCACCGACGUCGACGUCAUGGACGACGCCAACAUCUGCAUCGCGACCGCAAUAUCCCUCCUCAUGAUUCUCAUAUGCGGCAUGGCGACAUACGGCGCUUACAAGCAACACGCUGCGUGGAUCAUUCCGUUCUUCUGCUACCAAAUCUUCGACUUCGCCCUUAACACCCUGGUGGCCAUCAGCGUGGUGGUGUACCCCAACACGGUGCAGGAUUAUCUCCAGCAGCUGCCGGGUACCUUCCCGUACAAAGAGGACAUCAUGUCCACCAAUAAUAUGUGCCUCGUCUUCGCAGUCCUCCUUUUCAUUGGUGGCAUCCUCUCCUUCAAGGCCUACCUGAUCGGUUGCGUGUGGAACUGCUACCGGUACGUGAGCGGCCGGGGCACCACCGAGGUCCUCGUCUACGUCACCGCUAACGACACCACGGUUCUCCUUCCACCCUACGAAGAUGUGGUCGCCAUCCAGCCAAAGGAGCCUCCUCCUCCCCAGUGUGAUUGUGAGUGCGGCUGUUUGUCUCGAUGUGCCCUGCGAUUGGCCGGCGACCAGUUCAGGGUGUACCGCGCCUCUUUGCCCGAAGGCGGCUGGGACAGGCUCCAGCGCUCCCCGCGACCCUUGUGAGGAUAAGCGGCAAAGAAAAUGUGAAAUUUGAUUGGAUCACGAGGACUCGGCUGGACGUGAGGACAUCGCCGCCCUCCUGUGGACACUUACGGUCACCACCCAACGAGGAGGAGCCGGCCUCCGCACGCGAGCAGUUCCCGACCACUUGAAUAAUGUAUUUUUGUCGCCGGCCUCCUGGAAACAGCCUCAGUUACAGUCAACAACAAAUCCGACAAGAACCGCCGCAAGAACGCACGGGAACCGCCGCAGGAUGCGCGGCUAGAGGGACGGUUUCCGAAUUCUGUUCUUUUCUUUCCCGUUCGGCCUCCCGGGGAGGGGGAAAAAAGGGACGGGAUGGGGUGUUCCACGAGCUCCCAGACUUUGGCGGUGGACUCGAGCAAACCUGGAGUUAAACCGGAGGAAAGCAACGGGACCAGCACCACAGCCAACGCGGCGACGGCCAACGGCGACGCGGCCGAAGACGGCGACAGCGUCCCCGACCAGACGCCGUCCCCCCCGCCGCCGGGGGAGGCCCCCGACGUGAAGGCCGCAGGCGAGGCACCAAAGGCGACAGCGCCCCCACCGGCGCAGGAGGAGGAACUGCAGCUUUUAGACGCCGACGCAGAACUCCCGGAGGAGGCGGAUGCCGCCGCUGAGACGGCGCCUCCAGAAAACGCUCAAGAAGAAGACGCAGAUUCAACAGAACCCGAACAAGAAAAAACAGGGGCGGCGCCAACUUCAAGUGAAUGACGUCACCCACCAACAUUAAUAUUGCCAAGAUGGAGACGCUGUGACAUCAUCACCGUGUGCCUUCCAAACCCUAACGUGGCAGCGCUUAAUCCGGUUGAGGGAACGUUUUGCAUUUACAGCGACGUCGUAGCCAACACGCCAAGAAUUUUGAGGUAAUAUGUUAAUAAGUUAGGACCGUGGGGAAAAAAAUGUUACACAUUUUGAAAUUAUGUAUUUCCGGUGAACCACUGUCCAAAAAAAAAAAACAAAACAAAACAAAAUUCUUCCUUCAGUUCAUACGGAAGCCAUCUUAUCUCUUCAACAUGAAAAAAAAGUGUCUAUCCAAAAAAAAAAAAAAAUGUUGGUGGAUUACUGCUCCACCGUGCCCAUAAUGUAAUAUUUUACAUUUAUUUGAAUUACAAAAUAGCAUAAAUGAAAAUAAACCCUGAGU